UUCCUGAGGACGUAGGAGGUGAAUGGAGCCAUGACAGAUGAGCGUAUCUAGGGAGGCAGAAGGGAGAGGGAAAGUGUUCCAGGCCCUGGGAAACAACUGGGCACAUCUUCAAAGUGGGAAGGCGAGGCACGGGGCCAAGGCCGGCUGAGACCUUUAGGGCCCCAAGCACUCAAAAGAUCACGGUGCUCGCUCCCACCCUGCAUAGUAACUCAGAAUAAAGUUUAUUUUCCAUAGCGACGCUAAGCUUCCUGUGUGUUGGAAGUGGAAACAGCCUGCUUCUAGUUUCUGGAUUGCAAAACUGCGAGUAAGUGCACAGAAGCAGAACUCGUCUUCCUUUUCUGGUGCCUGCACUGUGCGUGUGUUCUGCCUCUUGGGUCAUGUACGGGCCUUUGGGUUUCCUCGUCUAUACGCGGGGGAUAAGGACAGCCAGCUCCCAUGCCGUCUGGAGCGAAGCCACAAGGAGCGAUGAAACAUCUGGUGUCGAGAACUGGGCCAGCUCCACGAGACACGGGCUUCCUUUCUCUUUUGUUCAGUGCCAUUGCUCAGAUCCGGGUUUGCAGGCAUGGCUCAGUCAAUAUCUGUUGAAGUAAAGAGUGAAUAAGCGAAGACAUUGGUGGCUCAGAACCCUGGAAGGGAGGCAGCAUCCACCGUUGUGCAGGAGAGGAGCCCAGAGGCCCUGAGAUGUUGUACGACUCACUCAAGGUCGUCCUGCCACAGCAGAGAUGAGAUUUGGAGUCCUGCUUGCGCGAGUGCCUGGUCCAACCACUCGAUCAUUCUAGGGGACAGUCUGAGCCAAAGGUGGGGUGCAGGAGGCCGGCAGCACAGGUGGAGGCCCGUGUGGCCCUGGCUGAGUCCUUCAGUCUCUGCAAAGCCGUCACAGAGGGCUGGGUCCCGGCCAUGCUCCCCUCAAGUCUGCUGGGCGACCGUGACAGUUGUAGUGGUCUCAAAGACACGGCCACAAAUUCUUCAACACUCUUCCUAUUGAGAAAUGGAGUGUCCCCAUUCCUCUAAUCUGGGCAGGUUUGUGACCCCUUCACCCCACAGAGAAUGUCAGAGGGGAGGCUGAGUCAGGAAAGACCAUGCACCUUCCAUUUUGUUGGCAGGAACAUUCGCUCUUGGAGGCCCGAGCCUCCAUGUGGAGGUGAGGAGAACCACUGGCCUGAGGCUGCCAUGUGGUGAGGAAGUCAGCACCACACGGAGAGGCCACGUCCGGGCCCGGCCCCCGCUGGGCCCCACCGUCUAACCUCCCAGCUCUCGGAGGUUUCUCAGCAGAGGCCCCGGACGUGUGGAGCAGGACAAAUCAUCCCGGUUACGCUCUGUCCGAACCCCGGACCCGCAGAAACCGUGCACAGAGUAAGACGGCUCCGUGCCACUGAGCUGGCGGGUGAUUUGUCAUGCUGUGGUCGCUAGCCAGCCAGGCCAUGCCACGCGGUCCUCUCAGGGGCCCCAUGCCCAGCACCUUUCCCCCACGGCCCCCGGGCAGCCGGCCGGGCUCACGCGCUCCGGGCCAAGAGUGGCUCCAAGGGAAGGGUGCGAGCCUGGGGGGCCCUGCGUCUCCUGGGAACGGUAUCUGCUGUGCCCCCUCUGCCCACUCCGAUCUGGGUCUGCCUCAGGGCCUCUUGGGCAUGAUCCCCGCCCCACCACUUCCUAGCUCGGAGAUCUUGGGCAGGUGACUGAACUCAGUUUCUUUAGUCUGGGAGACAGGGAUGGUAAAUGCCUGUGCCAGAGGGUUUCCGCCAGAGCGGUAUUCAGAGUCCAUUAUUUCUAUCUGCGGACUCACCCUCUUCCUGGCCCCUUGUGCCAUGUUCAUAUGCACAGGACUUUACAGUUUACAAGGUGCUCUCAUCCCCCCAUAACCCCAUGGGGCACGUCCACCUUACUGAACCGCUGAGAAAACCACAGCUCCAGACGGCAUGGCCUGAGCGGUGGACUCUUUCUCCUACUCUGGUUGGACCUCUUCUGGAAUUUUCCUCUGUGCUCCCUCCCUAGUGCUUCUGGACAACUUAUCUAGUCUCCUCCCUACUUCUGCUCUUCCUUGCCCCUGGAAUUCUGGUGUCACAGCCUGUGUGGCUUUUUGGAUAAGUCCCUUCCCCCUACUGGGUCUCAGUUUCCCCGUUUGUAAGGUGAGGCAGUUGGGCUGGCUGGUGUCAAAGGGCCCUUUCAGCUCUAAAAUGACCCACUUGGUUUUCAUAGCUGGAGGUGGCUUGGCUGCAGGACUGCUUGCUGCCGCCCCCCGCCCCCGGCCGAGUCUGCCCUGACUGUGAACAACUCAAGGAGGGAGCACAUCUCUGAGUCUGGGGCAGCAGGGCCGAGCCAUGAGAAGGAGGGGAGCAGUACUACCUAGGAGUUGAAAAGACCCAGAGAGGGCGCUGGGGCAUCUGCUCCCAACUUGGCAUACUCGCGGUUUUGCCUGAAGUGGGUCUGACAGUGUGGCUGGAUGAUAAACCCAACCCACCCAGGGCUGGAUUCUGAGGCCCCUUCCCAGGGCAGGGACCCUUCCCAGUGGCAGCUCUGGGGCGUGAGGCUUUAGAGCAUGCUGACGUCGGGUGGUCCAGCCCCUGCUGCUUCUCCUGCCAGUCUUCCCCUGGCCAACCUGGCUUGUCCUAUAGGCCUCCCUCAGGCCUCACUUCCUCCAGGCAGUCUUCCCUGAUUUGCAGCAUCAGGCCUGUCUUUGGUCUUCCAGUUGUGCUCAGGUUCCCUGUCAGGCCCUUGUUACAUGGCGGUCUGUUACUGCCUGUUUCACGACAGCUUCCCCUCUAAGACCUUAAGCCCCAGGAAGCCAAGGUUCAUGUCUGUUCUACUCACCACUGCUUCUUUGAUGCCCCAUACAAUGCUGGUACUAAUUAGGUCCUUGCUAAACGUGGGUUGCACAAAUAAAUUUUAGAUGAAUAAAUAAAGAACAGCAAUGCGAUUAGCAGUCACGGCAAUAAUUCAACUUGCUUAAAAUAACCCAGCCCCAUCUGUCUGUGCCUUAAGCCAGGCCAGGAGAGGAUGAUUUCCAUUGCACAUUAUUUUGGUCUCCAUAGGACUGCUCUUAUUGCAUUGUCUGUUCAUGUAAUUUCACUCCCCAGAACACCUCUCCAUGAGAUUUGUCUUUGUGUCAAUUCUGAGAAUUUUAUAAUGAAGUCUGCCAGGAAAAAUUCCUGCUCUACAACCAGAGGCAGUUAUGGUUUUUCUAGAUAUCAGGCUUUAUAUAUUUCUUUUUAAUUUCAUGGACAAUGUGUAACUGACUAGGUUUCUCCUUUCGCACUUGCUACCAGGAAGCUCAGAUCUAAAAUUUUAAUCCUUCAAAAUAGCAUUUAGGACUUUGUCGUCCUCAUUUCUGAACUGGCUAGAUUUCUGACUUAUUAAUGCCCUUUCCUCUGUUUUGCUUCUUUCUUAUCAAUUUCCAGUUUACGUUUUACUAUAAUAUUUCAAGUUAUAAAUUCCUUAUGGAUUUGUGUAUGCUUUGAAUCCUUUCCCUAAGAGCAAGGUGAUAUAUAAUUAAAUGCAUGCACACAGAACUUCUGGGCACAAUAUUCCCACGCUGACCCAGGAUUCAACUUCUGGCUGAAAAUGGGGUGCUGGGUCUUCUUGUGGCCACAUAAGCCUGUCUCCCUCUAGCCUCUGGCCACCCAGACCCCUGGCAUCCUGGUCCGUGUUCUGUGGGCUGUGGCCUGCCAGGCCUUGUACUGAGUGGCCAUUCCCUGGAUCUCAUUCACAGUCUUCUUCCUGAUCUGUCGGGUGCACUGCCCCGCUGCCAGCUUCCUGACCAGCCUCCUAUCUGUGGUUCCUGACCCCCUGCCUUAUCUCCCUUCUGUGUUGAUGCUUAAUGCUGCUUCUGAGAAACUGGCUUGUUUCCCUUCUUAGCUAAGGCUUGACCUUGUCCCUUGGAUGCAAUCUGAUUCCAGUUGCCAUGGGCAACCACACUUGGUCAUCCAGGCUGGCCUUUUGCUGGCCCAGGCCAGGGCAACUGACCUCCAGGCCCUGAGAACAUGCCUUGGACAGCUUGAGUCAGGAACAGGGGCUGGGGAGCUAGUCAUAAAGCAAGUAUAACAUUAAGUAUUGCCAUUUUAUCUCUGGAGAUGGCUCUGUACUCUUAGAGGUCGUGCUGAAAGGGAGUAAGAACCCAGUUUGAUGAAUGGGGAAUUGAGGUUCAGGGAGGUGUGAUUUAUCCAAGUUCACGCAGGAACUGAAGGAUCAGAGGGCUUCCUGGGGCAGGGUCCACUCUAUCACACUCCCUUCCAUCCCCGAGAUAGGGGGCCUGUGGGCCUCAGAGAACCCCAGGCCCGGCCAGAGUCAUCAACUGCCAAGAGGGCGUAUGGGCUGCCAACUUCCCUCCCUUCCCUCUGCAAAGCUGCAUGGCUCUGGGAGAUUCAGUCCACAUGCUCUGAUGAUCUGCCUGCUGCCUGCGGAAACAGAGAAGGGGAGGAGGGAGGAGGUGACCAGGGAUGACAAGGCCUGUGUGUCUGUUUGGUCUCUGCCAGAAUCCAGAGCCUGGCCCUUUGAUCAAGGGAGGCUGCCCCACGUUUUCCUAGCACCACACCCUCUAUCCUUCCUAUGAGGCCGUGGAGUUCUGAGCCAGUCACUUUGGAAGUGGAGGGAGCUGAGGAAUUAUAGCUCACCCCGGCCUUGGCAUCGGGAUGGCUGGUGUGGGCCCUCCCUCUCUGAGUGACCUCAAGCAGGUCCCUUGGUUCUGGGGGCCUGAGGCUUGUCACCUGUUCAGUGGGACCCUGAGUCCUUGCCCCCCUCCCUCUCAGUGGUGCUGUGACAACCAGAACCUAUUUGUUCUAGAACACUUCUCCACCUCACAUCUGAAAUGCCGUGCUGAAGCGAUUCCCCAGGGCACUUAGUGUACCUCCUCGCCAACCCUCAUCGCGGAGGGAAACAAAACCCCUCCAAAAAACAAAAGACAUCAGUGCAUCACAAUGCGCGCUGCCUUUGGUGGUGUUUGAAUUGGAAAUCACUGAGGUGGUUGGGUUUCUAUUCUGCAUCAGAAGUUUAUUCACGCAACAAGAAUUUGCUAAGGUUUUGUUCAGUUCCACAAAUAUUUAUCGAGUGCCUGCUCUGUUCUCAGCCCCGUGUUCAGUGUGGGAGCUGGAAGGCGAUCAAUCAUUCCGGGGGGAUGGGGGGUGGAGAGGCAGAGAGCACCGGCCUUGGAGUCCACCAGACCUGGCUCUGAGUCCCGGCUCUGGUCCUCGCUGUCUCGGUGACCUUGGGCAAGGCACCUCUGUUCUCCGAGCUGGUUCCGCAAGUGAAAGGGGAACAAGGCAGGCACACUCCUCAUGUGUUGUCAUGAGGGUCCGGGGAGGAAACGCAUCGUUUGUAUUAACAGUGACUGAAAUGCUAAGUGUGGUUGUUGUUGAGUCAGGAGUCAUGGGAAGACGUGGACUCUGCUCCCGUGGCAGUCGUGGUUUGG